UACAGAGGUCCCAAGCGUUGUUCGGAUUCAUUGGGCGUAAAGGGUGCGUAGGCGGCGCGGUAAGUCGGGUGUGAAAUCCUGGAGCUUAACUCCGAAACUGCAUUCGAUACUGCGGUGCUUGAGGACUGGAGAGGAGACUGGAAUUCAUGGUGUAGCAGUGAAAUGCGUAGAGAUCAUGGAGGAAGACCAGUGGCGAAAGGCGGGUCUCUGGACAGUUCCUGACACUGAGACACGGAAGGCCAGGGGAGCAAAACGGG
rnacentral:rRNA from 1 species